UAUUCGUUGGUAAACAAAACGAUGCAAUACGAAAUUUCAUCAGCCAUAAAUUUUCUUAGUACAAUCGAGAAACUGGCUAAAAUAGUUUGAGGCCAAAGAUUACUGUAGCGAUUGGCUGGGCGGUACAGAAAUAGAAGCUGUGUUUUUGAAUGAAGCUUUAAGUAAACUCCGCUUUAGUCAUUGAGAUUGAAAAUCCAGAAGGCGAUCCUGGAUGCCUUGCAGCUGUGCUGGCGGUGAGUUUGAUAAGCCAGGUACUAGACGAGGCCUCAAUUAUUGCCAAUGCUGCUAGAGAUUCAGGUCUACACUGGCAAUACAUAUCAAGCUUAAAAAAGUUACGUAGUCCCCAUUUGAACGUUCAACAUUAUGACGAAGAUAUGACUUUUACGACGGUAUCAAACGGCGACACCCAAUAUCUAAACGAUAACAUCGAAAAUCUAUUAAAUACUAUUGUCACGUCUACACCAGAACAACCAAUUGCUCUGGCCAGGCAAUUUAGGAACGAUUCAAAUAUGAUAAUAGGUCAAGGUGAUGAAGAAUUUGAUGUGGUAAGUGAAGUGAUAGGUAUCUCCGUAACUAUUGGCCUAUAUCCAAUAGGUUCAGACAUUUCUUUUAUUCACUUAUUAAUAGACACUUAGGUUCAUGUACCUAAGCUAGUUGUUUGUUUUUAUUUUUUGCCGGUGCCUUUUCAUUUUUUUAAUUUUAAUAUUCUGUGUUUCUCUGAUUUUAAUUCUAAUUUGUAAUCAUGUUUUUCGGUUUAAUUUUAGUCUGCUUUUCUGUAUUUCUAUACUAAGUGUAUUGUGUACCUGGACUCUGGCCUGUAAUAAAAUUAUUUUAUUUUA